CUCCCGCCCGAACUGAGACCCCCAAAACCGCGGAGGCUUCUCAGGAAGGCAAGACCCCGCGUCCUCCUCUGGCGACGUUCCUAUGGCAGCCUCCCGUGACUUCCCAGAUCAGCUUGACGGCCAUCACCUUCAGGAGUCAAUACCUUCAUAACGUCAGCUGAUCAACAAAGGAAUCAUGCAUACUUAGAGUGACACUGGCAUUAUAAGUGUUCAUUUGCCAACAACAUAGGAAAAGAACAAGUGUAGAUGGCAAGCUGCAGGUAAGUAUGCGUCAAGCACUGGUAAUUUGCAUAAUGCUUUACAGGCCAUUAAUUGUCCCUAGUUCUGAAACAGUUCAAUGAGCUAUUAUCCUAGUUAAGACAACUUGGAUUCUGGGACUAAGGUUGUGUCUACACCUACAGGAUAAAUCCAGUGUGAAAGUCUUUAGAUCUGUCCUGAUGCAGCCUGGGAGUAUCCUUGGAGCUGUCCAGACCAAAGAUGCAUCUGGGCUAUAAUAACCACUGGUCACAUGGUUCAGUGCCAAAAAUGACAUCUCCAGAAAUGUGACAUCACCAACAAGCCUUUGGGAGGGACCUGAUGACUACAAUGACCACUGAUCCCACGGUUCAAUGCCAGAAAUAAUAUCAUCAGAAAUGUGACACCACUAACAGGCCUCUGGAGGGACCUACUUGUUGGCAGCAACAUAGCAGUUGGUUCAUUGGUGAUUUGGACAAUGGAUUGGGUUAGAUCCAGCUGUCCACAUCUCCAAAACUGCAGGAUCACCAGUGCUUCCAGGAAGAUCUGGAGUAAAGCUCAUGUUCUGAAGACACGGGUUAACAUCUAAAUGCAACAUUUGUGCUUCGAAUCCAGCCAUGCAUCAUGUGGAUUCCUGCAAAAGCAGAGUGUAGAGAAUUAUGCUGUAAAAUGUAUAUUUCACAAUAAAAUAUAUGCAUAAAUGCA